rnacentral:rRNA from 1 species
AGCAGCCGCGGUAAUUCCAGCUCCAAUAGCGUAUAUUAAAGUUGUUGCAGUUAAAAAGCUCGUAGUUGAAUUUCGGGAUCAAGGCGUCGGUCGUGCUUCGGUACGUACUGGCGUCAUUGAUUUCUCCCUUCUGACGAACCAUGAUGUCAUUAACUUGGUGUUAUGGGAAAUCAGGACUGUUACUUUGAAAAAAUUAGAGUGUUCAAAGCAGGCUAACGCUUGAAUACAUUAGCAUGGAAUAAUGAAAUAGGACGUUCGAUCCUAUUUUGUUGGUUUCUAGGAUUGACGUAAUGAUUAAUAGGGAUAGUUGGGGGCAUUAGUAUUCAAUUGUCAGAGGUGAAAUUCUUGGAUUUAUUGAAAGACUAACUACUGCGAAAGCAUUUGCCAAGGAUGUUUUCAUUAAAUCAAGAACGAAAGUUAGGGGAUCGAAGACGAUCAGAUACCGUCGUAGUCUUAACCAUAAACUAUGCCGACUAGGGAUCGGAUGAUGUUAAUUUUUUAAUCGUAACUCAUUCGUCGG